UACGGAGGGUGCAAGCGUUAAUCGGAAUUACUGGGCGUAAAGCGCGCGUAGGCGUUGCUAAGUCAGAUGUGAAAUCCCCGGGCUACAACCCUGGGAAUGGCAUUUGAGACUGGUAGGCUAGAAUGUGGUAGAGGUGAGUGGAAUUCCAGGUGUAGCGGUGAAAUGCGUAGAGAUCUGGAAGGAACAUCAGUGGCGA
rnacentral:rRNA from 1 species